CAGUUCGGAUUGUAGUCUGNAACCCGACUACAUGAAGCUGGAAUCGCUAGUAAUCGCGAAUCAGAAUGUCGCGGUGAAUACGUUCCCGGGUCUUGUACACACCGCCCGUCACACCAUGGGAGUCGGAAAUGCCCGAAGUCAGUGACCUAACCGAAAGGGAGGAGCUGCCGAAGGUGGAGCCGGUAACUGGGGUGAAGUCGUAACAAGGUACC
rnacentral:rRNA from 1 species